AGGCGAAAAAUGAAAGGGGACAGAGAAGUGGAAGUGACAAUGAACUCAACGCAAUUGAGGAACAUACCAGUAGGAUUGGUCUGAAAUUUAAAACAAAAAAUGAAGGAAAAGGAAUCUAGAAACUUUGACGAUGUUUACUAGACUUCCUCGCAACUUCGCAGUAAUUGAGAGUAUUAGGAAAUAGGACUACUAAUCCCGAAGAGGCAGUUCCCUGCUGGCUGACUUUCUGCUGACAUCAUCCAAGGAGCUACUGGCACCAGCACUGCUGACGUGGAACGUUCUCAUCCACCUAAGAGCUUGGAAUAAAAACAGCCCUUUCAGCUUCUACUCAAUGUCACUGCAGCCUCUCAGGCUAAGUCUCAGGCAGGAAUCCAGAUGGGCUGGGCCAGAGAACAAUCUGUGUUACAGUGCAUGUACUGAGUCCAGAAAACCCUCUUCUCUCAAACCACGGC
rnacentral:lncRNA from 1 species